CCUUCCGGCCGCAGAUCUGCUCGCCGCCUGCUCCAGAGCUUGCACAGCGUCGCCGCACCGCCUGCACCCUGUCGGCCGCAGAUCUGCUCGCCGUCUGCUCCAGAGCCUACACCGCGUCGCCGCGCCUGUUUACUUGCUGCCGUGCUUGAGUAUCUCGCAGCCGAGGUAUUGCUUCUAUUUUCCUGCAUUUUCAAUUCUGGGUUCCGGUGUUGCUAGAUUUCUGAAUCUGAUCAUGCACUUUAGUUGAACCUAUCUUUGCUUUUCUGUUGGGACUUUUUCUGAUUUUCUGUGAGAAAUUGGCGUAGUGAAUCGGGUAUUUUUUUAGUUUUGAGCGUUGAUUGAGUUGGUUAGGGCUAACUACAGCAGUAUCCUUUAAGCAGAUUAGUGGCGUUUUUUAUAUUUAAGCAUCUGAAUUUCUUGUGUAUUUUAAGCAUCUGAAUUUAAGCAUCUGAAUAUCUGCACAGGAUGAGUAGCUUGAGUUGUAAUAAAUUUCUUGUGAUUUUAUGUUUGUUUUGGCAGAAUGCAGUUAAUGGACAAUUCAAAUCUAAUAGAAAAUACUCCUCAAGUAGAUGAGAUUAUGGUGGAAGUGAAUGAUGUGGAGAAAGAAGUUGUGGAUUGAAGAGGUGUUUGCAAAAGAAGCUUCACGUUAAGUUACAAGCUUGAAGGAAGAUUGAAUGCUUGACAUUUGUUCUAGUAUCAUCUUAUUUUGAUGUAUUUGAAACUUUUCAUGAUGUAUGUUUCUACAUGGAUAUUGUUUAUUUUACAAUAUUUUGAAUUUGUGGCUUA
rnacentral:lncRNA from 1 species